ACCCGUUAAGGCAUCAUGGCCUGUACCCGAAACCGACACAGGUGGGGUGGUAGAGAAUACCGAGGGGCGCGAGGUAACUCUCUCUAAGGAACUCGGCAAAAUGGCCUCGUAACUUCGGGAGAAGGGGUGCCACCGCAAGGUGGUCGCAGUGAAGAGGCCCAGGCGACUGUUUACCAAAAACACAGGUCUCCGCUAAGUCGCAAGACGAUGUAUGGGGGCUGACGCCUGCCCAGUGCCGGAAGGUUAAGGAAGCUGGUCAGCGCAAGCGAAGCUGGCGACUGAAGCCCCGGUGAACGGCGGCCGUAACGAUAACGGUCCUAAGGUAGCGAAAUUCCUUGUCGGGUAAGUUCCGACCCGCACGAAAGGCGUAACGAUCUGGGCGCUGCCUCGGAGAGAGGCUCGGCGAAAUAGAAUUGUCUGUGAAGAUGCGGACUACGUGCACCCGGACAGAAAGACCCUAUGAAGCUUUACUGUAGCUUGGUAUUGUGCCCGGGCUCUGAAUGCGCAGGAUAGGUGGGAGGCUUUGAUCAUCGGCUUGCGGGUCGAUGUGAGCCAACGGUGAGAUACCACUCUUUCAGAGCUAGGGUUCUAACAGUCACCCGUUAUCCGGGGACUGGACAGUAUCAGGUGGGCAGUUUGACUGGGGCGGUCGCCUCCUAAAAGGUAACGGAGGCGCGCAAAGGUCUGCUCAGGCUGGUUGGAAAUCAGCCGACGAGUGUAAAAGCAGAAGCAGGCUUGACUGUGAGACCUACAAGUCGAACAGGGAGGAAACUCGGCUUUAGUGAUCCGACGGUUCUGCGUGGAAGGGCCGUCGCUCAACGGAUAAAAGUUACUCUAAGGAUAACAGGCUGAUCUCCCCCAAGAGUUCACAUCGACGGGGAGGUUUGGCACCUCGAUGUCGGCUCAUCGCAACCUGGGGCUGAAGUCGGUCCCAAGGGUUGGGCUGUUCGCCCAUUAAAGCGGUACGCGAGCUGGGUUCAGAACGUCGUGAGACAGUUCGGUCCAUAUCCGGUGCAUGCGCAGGAAUAUUGAGAGGAGUUCUCCCUAGUACGAGAGGACCGGGAGGAACGCACCUCUGGUGUACCAGUUAUCGUGCCAACGGUAAACGCUGGGUAGCCAUGUGCGGAGAGGAUAACCGCUGAAAGCAUCUAAGUGGGAAGCCCACCUCAAGAUGAGUAUUCCCAUGGCGUUAGCCAGUAAGGUCACGGGAAGAACACCCGUUGAUAGGCUCUAUGUGGAAGCGCAGUAAUGCGUGAAGCAGAGGAGUACUAAUAGACC
rnacentral:rRNA from 1 species